GGAGUGUUAGCUCAGCUGGGAGAGCACCGCCCUUACACGGCGGGGGUCACUGGUUCGAACCCAGUACAAUCCACCA
rnacentral:tRNA from 1 species